rnacentral:rRNA from 1 species
GAUGAACGCUGGCGGCGUGCCUAAUACAUGCAAGUCGAGCGAACGGACGAGAAGCUUGCUUCUCUGAUGUUAGCGGCGGACGGGUGAGUAACACGUGGAUAACCUACCUAUAAGACUGGGAUAACUUCGGGAAACCGGAGCUAAUACCGGAUAAUAUUUUGAACCGCAUGGUUCAAAAGUGAAAGACGGUCUUGCUGUCACUUAUAGAUGGAUCCGCGCUGCAUUAGCUAGUUGGUAAGGUAACGGCUUACCAAGGCAACGAUGCAUAGCCGACCUGAGAGGGUGAUCGGCCACACUGGAACUGAGACACGGUCCAGACUCCUACGGGAGGCAGCAGUAGGGAAUCUUCCGCAAUGGGCGAAAGCCUGACGGAGCAACGCCGCGUGAGUGAUGAAGGUCUUCGGAUCGUAAAGCUCUGUUAUUAGGGAAGAACAUAUGUGUAAGUAACUGUGCACGUCUUGACGGUACCUAAUCAGAAAGCCACGGCUAACUACGUG